GGGGAAUUUUGGACAAUGGGGGCAACCCUGAUCCAGCCAUGCCGCGUGUCUGAAGAAGGCCUUCGGGUUGUAAAGGACUUUUGUUAGGGAAGAAAAGGGAAGUGCUAAUAUCACUUUUUGCUGACGGUACCUAAAGAAUAAGCACCGGCUAACUACGUGCCAGCAGCCGCGGUAAUACGUAGGGUGCGAGCGUUAAUCGGAAUUACUGGGCGUAAAGCGAGCGCAGACGGUUAUUUAAGUCAGAUGUGAAAUCCCCGAGCUUAACUUGGGAACUGCGUUUGAAACUGGGUAACUAGAGUAUGUCAGAGGGGGGUAGAAUUCCACGUGUAGCAGUGAAAUGCGUAGAGAUGUGGAGGAAUACCGAUGGCGAAGGCAGCCCCCUGGGAUAAUACUGACGUUCAUGCUCGGAAGCGUGGGUAGCAAACAGGAUUAGAUACCCUGGUAGUCCACGCCCUAAACGAUGUCAAUUAGCUGUUGGUGCACUAGAUGCAUUAGUAGCGAAGCUAACGCGUGAAAUUGACCGCCUGGGGAGUACGGUCGCAAGAUUA
rnacentral:rRNA from 1 species